rnacentral:tRNA from 1 species
GCUUGGGUAGCAAAGAGGGUAAAUGCUUAAGAUUUAGGUUCUUACAUCGAAGGUUCAAUUCCUUCCCCCAGCUU